UUUAGAGGAAGUAAAAGUCGUAACAAGGUUUCCGUAGGUGAACCUGCGGAAGGAUCAUUACUGAACUGUCGACACGAGUUGUUGCUGGUCCUCGAGAGGGGGCAUGUGCACACUCUGUUUACAUACCCACUCACACCUGUGCACCCUCUGUAGCUCCAUGGUGUGGGGGGCCCUGUCCUCCCACUGUGGUUCUACGUCUUUACACACACACGUUGAUAAGUCUCAUGGAAUGUAUAUAGCGUUUAACGCAAUACAAUACAACUUUCAGCAACGGAUCUCUUGGCUCUCGCAUCGAUGAAGAACGCAGCGAAAUGCGAUAAGUAAUGUGAAUUGCAGAAUUCAGUGAAUCAUCGAAUCUUUGAACGCACCUUGCGCCCUUUGGCUAUUCCGAAGGGCAUGCCUGUUUGAGUAUCAUGAACACCUCAACUCUCAUGGUUUGCCAUGAUGAGCUUGGACUUUGGGGGUCUUGCUGGCCUAUGGUCAGCUCCUCUAAAAUGAAUCAGCUUGCCAGUGUUUGGUGGCGUCACAGGUGUGAUAACUAUCUACGCUUGUGGCCCCCCACCAGGUAACCUCCAGUGAUGGAGGUUCGCUGGGGCUCAUAAAUGUCUCUCCUUGGUGAGGACAGCUUUUUGAACGUUUGAUCUCAAAUCAGGUAGGACUACCCGCUGAACUUAAGCAUA
rnacentral:rRNA from 1 species